rnacentral:tRNA from 1 species
UGCCUCGUAGCUCAGAUGGCUAGAGCGUUGGCUGUACUAAAGCCGUCAUCUUGCUAGUGUGGGUUCAAAUCCCACCGAGGCCA